rnacentral:misc_RNA from 1 species
GAAAUGCGAUAAGUAAUGUGAAUUGCAGAAUUCAGUGAAUCAUCGAAUCUUUGAACGCACCUUGCGCUCCUUGGUAUUCCUUGGAGCAUGCCUGUUUGAGUAUCAUGAAAUCUUCAAAGUAAAUCUUUUGUUAACUCAAUUGGUUUCUACUUUGGUAUUGGAGGUCUUUGCAGCUUCACACCUGCUCCUCUUUGUUCAUUAGCUGGAUCUCAGUGUUAUGCUUGGUUCCACUCGGCGUGAUAAGUUAUCUAUCGCUGAGGACACUGUAAAAGGUGGCCAAGGUAAAUGCAGAUGAACCUCUUCUAAUAGUCCAUUGACUUGGACAAUACUUUUAUGAUCUGAUCUCAAAUCAGGUAGGACUACCCGCUGAACUUCAGC